AGGGAAUCUUCCGCAAUGGGCGGAAGCCUGACGGAGCAACGCCGCGUGAGUGAUGAAGGUCUUCGGAUCGUAAAACUCUGUUAUUAGGGAAGAACAAACGUGUAAGUAACUGUGCACGUCUUGACGGUACCUAAUCAGAAAGCCACGGCUAACUACGUGCCAGCAGCCGCGGUAAUACGUAGGUGGCAAGCGUUAUCCGGAAUUAUUGGGCGUAAAGCGCGCGUAGGCGGUUUUUUAAGUCUGAUGUGAAAGCCCACGGCUCAACCGUGGAGGGUCAUUGGAAACUGGAAAACUUGAGUGCAGAAGAGGAAAGUGGAAUUCCAUGUGUAGCGGUGAAAUGCGCAGAGAUAUGGAGGAACACCAGUGGCGAAGGCGACUUUCUGGUCUGUAACUGACGCUGAUGUGCGAAAGCGUGGGGAUCAAACAGGAUUAGAUACCCUGGUAGUCCACGCCGUAAACGAUGAGUGCUAAGUGUUAGGGGGUUUCCGCCCCUUAGUGCUGCAGCUAACGCAUUAAGCACUCCGCCUGGGGAGUACGACCGCAAGGUUG
rnacentral:rRNA from 1 species